rnacentral:misc_RNA from 1 species
AAGUCGUAACAAGGUCUCCGUAGGUGAACCUGCGGAGGGAUCAUUAACACGUUUAUACAAACGUUUUUCAACCAAAUAUAAGGAAACUGAAAAGUUGAGAAAGGAGAGAGUGGAAGCUUGACUGUCAUAAGCGCCAGUCGAGUGAAACUUUUGACUUUCCCCCUUUUUUUCAAUUAAUUAACCCUUUUCCAACCUUGAAUCGAAAUUGACCUGUACUUUCAAAUUUCAUUAGUUUGAAACUUGAUAGUUGAUAUCAUAAUAAAGAGCACAACUCUUAGCAACGGAUAUCUUGGUUCUC